GACGAACGCUGGCGGCGUGCUUAACACAUGCAAGUCGAACGGAAAGGCCCUGCUUUUGUGGGGUGCUCGAGUGGCGAACGGGUGAGUAACACGUGAGUAACCUGCCCUUGACUUUGGGAUAACGUCAGGAAACUGGGGCUAAUACCGGAUAGGAGCUCCUGCUGCAUGGUGGGGGUUGGAAAGUUUCGGCGGUUGGGGAUGGACUCGCGGCUUAUCAGCUUGUUGGUGGGGUAGUGGCUUACCAAGGCGUUGACGGGUAGCCGGCCUGAGAGGGGGACCGGGAACGGGGGGACGGGGAGACGGGGGAGACGACUACGGGAGGCAGCAGGGGGGAGUAGGGCAGGGGGGGCGGAAGGCUGAGGGAGCGACGCCGAGUGGGGGAUGACGGCCGGCGGGUGGGAAACUCCUGGCGACCGCGAGGAAGCCACCUGGUUGGAAGGGUGGUGACGGUAGUGGGAGAAGAAGCACCGGCUAACUACGUG
rnacentral:rRNA from 1 species